rnacentral:lncRNA from 1 species
GCCAGCAGGAGAAGAUAGAAAGAGAAUUUGGUUCACUUAGCUUUAGGAUAUUAAUUCAUGGAGAGACUAUCGGCUCCAUUGGCAUGUAUUUUAGUUUUGAUUUUAAGUUAUGUUUGGUAAAUUCGCUAGGAAAAGAGAAUUAUAAUUUUGUUGAAAGUAGUUGUUAAAUCUUAAAGACGAUAAGACACUUGACAGAGAAUUGUUACAGGAUAGCCAAGGAUGAAGGCCCCAGGGAGAAUUGGACAUGUGGAAAAUGAAAGGCGGCAUCCUACAAGAGAAGGUCUGACAUAAGGAUCAUUUACUAAUCUUACCAAAGACAUUGUUUAGAAAUGCAGCAAUAUUGAUACAUGGGCUGAGCCAUGUAUCAAUAGGGGGGAAGAAUGGUAGAGCAGGUGAUAGAACAGGUUAGGAUAAUUACUUAAACCUCCAGACUACACUAGAGACUAUUGAGACUCACCUCUAGACUACAGUAGAGACUAUUGAGACUCACCCCUAGACUAAACCAGACUAUUGAGACUCACCUCUAGACUACACUAGAGAAUAUUGACUAUUUCUUGAAUUGUUUAAC